rnacentral:rRNA from 1 species
GACGAACGCUGGCGGCGUGCUUAACACAUGCAAGUCGAACGGAAAGGCCCUGCUUUUGUGGGGUGCUCGAGUGGCGAACGGGUGAGUAACACGUGAGUAACCUGCCCUUGACUGUGGGAUAACUUCAGGAAACUGGGGCUAAUACCGGAUAGGAGCUCCUGCUGCAUGGUGGGGGUUGGAAAGUUUCGGCGGUAGGGGAUGGACUCGCGGGUUAUCAGCUGGUUGGUGGGGUAGUGGCUGACCAAGGCUUUGACGGGUAGCCGGCCUGGGAGGGUGACCGGCCACAUUGGGACUACGAUACGGACCAGACGCCUACGUGCGGCAGCAGUGGGGAAUAUUGCACAAUGGGCGGAAGCCUGAUGCAGCAAUGCCGCGUGCGGGAUGCCGGCCUUCGGGUUGUAAACCGAUUUCGCCUGUGACGAAGCGUGCGUGACGGUAAUGGGUAAAGAAGCACCGGCUAACUACGUG